rnacentral:misc_RNA from 1 species
AAAUCUCACCAGGCUUGGUGCUUUCGAGCAUUUGGCAAUGGUGGAGUUGGAUUUUUGCGUCAGCAAUCAUCUGAAAACAAUUGUAUGUGCACCAAUUGCUUGGUCUUUUGGUUGUCAAAGUGCAACAGAUUUUUCUAUUUCGCUUGGACGAUCGAGGGAUUGGUUUGAUGUGCAUACUCACCUCAUUACACGGAAUUCGAAUCUGAUGGUUCGGGUUCUGAUAA